rnacentral:rRNA from 1 species
CUUCUUGAGUUUAUUGGAAGUCGGGCCUGUCCACUGAUAUUUAUUUGAAGGGCCGCGGUAUUUUGACCGUGCAAAGGUAGCAUAAUCAUUAGUCUUUUAAUUGGGGGCUGGAAUGAAUGGUUUGACGAAAUAAUAUCUGUCUCUAAUAUAAUAAUGUUGAAUUUUACUUUUGAGUUAAAAGGCUUAAAUAUUAAUGAGGGACGAGAAGACCCUAUAGAUCUUUAUAAUGUAUUUUAUAAUAUUAAUUUUGGAUGUAUAAUUUAAUAUAUAAUUUAUUUUAUUUUAUUGGGGUGAUAUAAGAAUAUAUUAACUUCUUGUUUUUUUUACUUUAAUAGAAGAAUUAUAUGAUCCUUUAGUAUGGAAUUAAGAUUAAGAUACCUUAGGGAUAACAGCGUAAUCUUGUUGGAGAGUUCUUAUUGAUAAUGAGGAUUGCGACCUCGAUGUUGGAUUAAGAAAAUAUAUUGAUGGAGAUGUUGAUAUUAUUGGUCUGUUC